rnacentral:lncRNA from 1 species
CGGCCAUCAGCGGGAGGCGGGACGAGCCGGAGACCGCGUCCUCUACCGAGCAGGAUCAGUCUUCAACUGGCCAAUUUUGCCAUUUGGCAAAGAGAAAAAUCACUGGGCAAGUUACUGCCUUGCAGUUCAAGAAAAUCCCAUGUUACCACUAUGAGAAGGAUUUUCUUUCCAAAGCGGUACGUCCUUAAGCAAGUGAUUCGGAGUAGCAGACAAAGCAGAAAACAGUGAAAGCCGUGUGCGGGACUCUGACAGGGAGACUUCUUUAUGGCUGCCCUGUGGGUGACACAGCAGAUGCUAGAAUUCCAAACCGCCCCAAAUAAAAACUGAAGAAUAUCGGCUAGGAAGCUGCCCUGCGUUCGGGAGCCUCAGGACCAUCGCGGCUGUCCUAGAGGGCUGACCUGCAAUGCUAUGUAUGUAAGAAGACUCGAGCAAAGCAUCAUCAAAUAUAUCGCAGAAUUGUGUCCAAAUUUCAGCCCAGUUCCUGCGGCGCAGGAUUUACGGUCUGCAUUAUGUCUGGAGCCCGCACUGCGCAUGCGCUCGUCUUCCUCCUCGGCUGUUCUGCGCUUGCGUUGGGCGUCUGCUCAGCCUCCCUGGAGCACGGCGAGGCUGAGUACUACGUGGCUGCC